GACGAACCGUGCGAACGUUAUUCGGAAUCACUGGGCUUAAAGCGCGUGUAGGCGGAUGGGAACGUCGGCUUCUGAAAGCCCCCGGCCUCAACCGGGGAAGUGGGGCCGAAACGACCCGUCUCGAGGGACGUAGGGGGAUCUGGAACUUCCGGUGGAGCGGUGAAAUGCGUUGAGAUCGGAAGGAACGCCCGUGGCGAAAGCGGCACCCUGGCCGAGGUCUGACGCUGAAGCGCGACAGCGUGGGGAGCGAACGGGG
rnacentral:rRNA from 1 species